rnacentral:misc_RNA from 1 species
GCAUCAAGAAGAGAAGAAGCAAAAUGGGCUCUCAAGCGCUAUCAUCCUCAUGUUUCUUUCGCUCAAACUGGGUGGCUUUAAAUUCUUCUCAACCAUCAUCUUCGUCAUCAAGCCUCAAGCCUUCUAUACUUCUUCCUCUCAAAGCCAAAAAUCCUCCAUACCCUCUUCAUGCCAAUGCCAUUACUGUUACCUUCUCUUUCCCCAGAUUCCACAGGUUGAAAACCAGAGCUGCCCUUGAUGAAAAAGACCAAAGCCCUCCUACCCCACUUCUUGUUCAACAGCAAGAAGAAAAAGAGGAGGAAGAAGUGCGGACUCAAAGCAACCCAGAGGUGGAGGAGAGUGUGAAAAUGCUCAAGAAUGCUGCAAAGACAAGAAAGGUUGCGGCAAAGGAGGUUUUAUCAGCUCUAGCUGUGAUUGAGAAGGCUAAAAUGGAUCCCUCAGGGUUUCUUGAAACACUUGGUGGGUCAAAAUCCCCAGGCAGAACUUGGAUGCUUAUUUUCACUGCUGAGGUUGGUAUAAUUCUUGUUCCCUGGUGUUUACUAGUUAUUUUUAUCUAUAUGGUUUAUUAUGCUAUUGAUUUUUGUGUUAUUUUGUAGAAGCAAUUGAAGGGUGGAAGAUACUUCCCUCUUACUGCUGUUCAGAGGUUUGAUGCUGCUGUAAGUUCAGUGUAGCCUUCAAUUAUACAUUUAUGAAUGUUUUUGUGAUAUAAGUUUCUGGUGUAAAGAAAAAAAACAAAAAUUGGAAUUGUUCAGGGUAUUGGUAUUUCAAUUUAGAAAUGCUUUUUCAGCAAAUGGAUAAUUUAUGUGGAUUUUCUUUGAUAAAUUAACAAAAAAAAUGGUACUCUUUUCAAGCUUCUAAUAGCCCCUUGUAACUUUAACUAAAUGCAGAAGCUUAGGGCAUUGUCUUGGGAUUUGUCUUGUGACACUAGUGAAGUUUUUGUGGGACACAAUUUCUUGUUUUUAGAAUUAGCUUUCUAAUUUCCUUUUUGUUGGUGAUCAUUUAGAAUCCACUGCAUUAAUCUUCCUACACUGGUUCUGAAAACUGAAAAUGAAUUAGGUUGUACUUGUGAAGAAGUUCUUAUCCCUUGCUUGUGGGUAAGGACAAUUGUUAACAUUUUCAAAAUUUCCUCUAGUUCCCCACUUCUUAGAUGCUCAUGUAGACGCAUAAUCCAAAUAUAUUCUAUUUUGUUUCAUUUUUCAUGUUCUUAUAUGUUAAUGCCUUCUUUAAGCAUGAACUUUCCUGCAUUUUCAUCUUUUCUCUUGUUGCAAAGACUAGUAAAUUCGUUGGAUUGCUUAUGUCAGCCGGUUGAAGAUAGACACGUGUAUUAUGUUCCUUAUGUUCAACCUUAGAUAGUUAUUGAUUUGUACUUGGAUUAUCAGGAAAAGAGGAUUGAAAAUGGAGUAUAUCUUGGGCCAAUUGGAUGCUUAACAUUUGAAGGCAGAUUUACAUGGAAAAACAGGAUAUUGGCCUUCAUUUUUGAGCUUGUUCGUGUGAAAAUUGGACCUCUAAAUCCUUUGGAGAUCAGUCUUGGCCAAAUCGACGAUAGAGAACCAAGCACCAAAGAUCCAUUCUUUAUAUGGUUUUACAUUGACGAAGAAAUAGCAGUUGCUCGAGGCAGGAGCGGGGGAACUGCAUUUUGGUGUCGAUG